CCCCUAGAUGUUCUGGGCCGCACGCGCGCUACACUGAACAGUUCAACAAGUCUUAACCUUGGCCGAUAGGUCUGGGUAAUCUUUGAACGCUGUUCGUGAUUGGGAUAGACCUUUGCAAUUAUGGGUCUUCAACGAGGAAUUCCUAGUAAACGCAAGUCAUCAGCUUGCAUUGAUUACGUCCCUGCCCUUUGUACACACCGCCCGUCGCACCUACCGAUUGAAUGGUCCGGUGAAAUCUCGGGACGGCGGCUUGGUCGCUUGCGUCCGACUGCUGAAACUUGGUUAAACCAUAUCAUUUAGAGGAAGGUGAAGUCGUAACA
rnacentral:rRNA from 1 species